rnacentral:rRNA from 1 species
AGAGUUUGAUCCUGGCUCAGGAUGAACGCUGGCGGCGUGCCUAACACAUGCAAGUCGAACGGAGUAACGAGAGUUUACUUUUGUUACUUAGUGGCGGACGGGUGAGUAAUGCGUGAGCAACCUGCCUUUCAGAGGGGGACAACAGUUGGAAACGACUGCUAAUACCGCAUAACAUACACGGAUGGCAUCGUCUGUGUAUCAAAGGAGCAAUCCGCUGAAAGAUGGGCUCACGUCUGAUUAGCUGGUUGGCGGGGUAACGGCCCACCAAGGCGGCGAUCAGUAGCCGGACUGAGAGGUUGAACGGCCACAUUGGAACUGAGACACGGUCCAGACUCCUACGGGAGGCAGCAGUGAGGAAUAUUGGACAAUGGCCGGAAGGCUGAUCCAGCCAUGCCGCGUGCGGGAGGACGGCCCUAUGGGUUGUAAACCGCUUUUGCGGGGGAGCAAUAAGAGUCACGCGUGGCUCGAUGAGAGUACCCUGCGAAUAAGCAUCGGCUAACUCCGUGCCAGCAGCCGCGGUAAUACGGAGGAUGCAAGCGUUAUCCGGAUUUAUUGGGUUUAAAGGGUGCGUAGGCGGCGCGUUAAGCGUGAGGUGAAAGCUCGGGGCUCAACCCCGGAACUGCCUCGCGAACUGGCGUGCUGGAAUGCUCCUGCCGUGGGAGGAAUGUGUGGUGUAGCGGUGAAAUGCAUAGAGAUCACACAGAACACCGAUUGCGAAGGCAUCUCACGAAGGGGUGAUUGACGCUGAGGCACGAAAGCGUGGGGAUCAAACAGGAUUAGAUACCCUGGUAGUCCACGCAGUAAACGAUGAUAACUAACCGCUGGGGUGAAAAUUUCAGUGGCCAAGCGAAAGCGAUAAGUUAUCCACCUGGGGAGUACGACCGCAAGGUUGAAACUCAAAGGAAUUGACGGGGGCCCGCACAAGCGGAGGAACAUGUGGUUUAAUUCGAUGAUACGCGAGGAACCUUACCCGGGCUCGAACGGCUGGUGAAGAGAUCCAGAGAUGGUGACGUCCUUCGGGACACCAGUCGAGGUGCUGCAUGGUUGUCGUCAGCUCGUGCCGUGAGGUGUCGGCUCAAGUGCCAUAACGAGCGCAACCCUUGCCGUCAGUUACCAGCACGUCGUGGUGGGGACUCUGGCGGGACUGCCACCGCAAGGUGAGAGGAAGGGGGGGAUGACGUCAAAUCAGCACGGCCCUUACGUCCGGGGCGACACACGUGUUACAAUGGCGGCCACAGAGGGGCACUACCUGGUGACAGGAUGGGAAUCUCGAAAAGCCGUCUCAGUCCGGAUCGGAGUCUGCAACCCGACUCCGUGAAGCUGGAUUCGCUAGUAAUCGCGCAUCAGCCAUGGCGCGGUGAAUACGUUCCCGGGCCUUGUACACACCGCCCGUCAAGCCAUGAAAGUCUGGGGCGCCUGAAGUUCGUGACCGCAAGGAGCGACCUAGGGCGAAACAGGUAAUUGGGGCUAAGUCGUAACAAGGUAACC